UACGUAGGGGGCAAGCGUUGUCCGGAAUCAUUGGGCGUAAAGAGCGUGUAGGCGGCCCGAUAAGUCCGCUGUGAAAGUCCAGGGCUCAACCCUGGAAUGCCGGUGGAUACUGUCGGGCUCGAAUCCGGAAGAGGUGAGUGGAAUUCCUGGUGGUAGCGGUGAAAUGCGCAGAUAUCAGGAGGAACACCAAUGGCGAAGGCAGCUCACUGGGACGGUAUUGACGCUGAGACGCGAAAGCGUGGGGAGCAAACAGG
rnacentral:rRNA from 1 species